AGAUGAAGAUUGGAUUGGAGUUUUUUCUCCUGCAAAAUUCAGGGAGUGGAGAAGUUGAUUACAUUGAAGAUCAUAAUGGGUGAUAUCAGAGCAUCCACUCGGUUUGAUUACAAUUACGGAAUGGCAUAUAAAGAUAUUCAUGCUCUUCAAGGAAGAGUUGGAAAUAUGCCAUGAAGAUCUCGAGAAGUUAAAUUACCAAGUACUUACAAAGUCGAGCUUCUCAGAAAUCAAAGACCUCACAAAAGCAAUCCUCAGAAGAAAACCAUGUAAUAGGAGGAAGAAAUAUUGCUAAUUAUU